GGACUACCCGGGUAUCUAAUCCCGUUCGCUCCCCUCGCUUUCGCCCCCGAGCGUCAGGUGCCAGCCAGGACACUGCCUUCGCCUUUGGUGUUCUUCCGGAUCUCUACGCAUUUCACCACUCCACCCGGAGUUCCAUGUCCCUCUCUGGCCCUCAAGUCGCGCCGUCUUCACGGUCCUCUGCCGGUUAAGCCGGCAGCUGUCACCACGAACUGACGCGACCGCCUGCGGGCGCUUUACGCCCAGUAACUCCGGACAACGCUUGCCCCCUACGUAUUACCGCGGCUGCUGGCAC
rnacentral:rRNA from 1 species